AGAAUACUGACACACAGAGUACUAAGACACAGAGUACUGAGACACAGAGUACUAAUACACAGAGUACUAAUACACAGAGUACUAAGUCACAGAGUACUAAUACACAGAGUACUAAUACACAUAGUACUAACACACUGAGUACUAAUACACCUGUGUGAAGUUAAACUAACUUCCUGUCUGUGAAGCUAACUUCCUGUCUGUGAAGCUAACUUCCUGUCUGUGAAGCUAACUUCCUGUCUGUGAAGCGAACUUCCUGUCUGUAAAGCUCACUUCCUGUCUGUGAGGCUAACUUCCUGUCUGUGAAGCUAACGUCCUGUCUGUGGAACUAACUUCCUGUCUGUGAAACUCACUUCCUGUCUGUGAAGCUAACGUCCUGUCUGUGAAACUAACUUCCUGUCUGUGAAGCUCACUUCCUGUCUGUGAAACUAACUUCCUGUCUGCGUACAGAGCUGUGGGGGGGGAGCUCGCAGGAGGCGCAGAUCUGCUAUAUACGCUGAUGGGAACGCGGCCCUCAUCACUAUGGGAUGGAGAAACUGAAGAGCUUUGCAUGCUGAUUCCUGACGGUGGAAAUGAAGGUCUUGUUGCUGUGAAACUGAGCCGGCACAUUAUCUGAGAUUAUUCCUGAGGACUCCAGUUAUUCUGAGCUUUAACUUCUUUAUGAUGUGGGGGUAAUAAUCAAAAGGGGUUACUUUACUAUGUGCACUGGUAUAUAUAUAUAUAUAUAUAUAUAUAUAUAUAUAUAUAUAUAUAAUUUCUUCUUUAAUAUACUGUCUGUUUUUAAAUGUACACAGCCUGAAAGCUAGCUGAGUGUUAAAGAAGGGAAACAGGAAGUGAAUGAGAACUGAAAUGUGGAUUACUAUCCAGGAAGAGGUUCAGAUCAGAUGUAAUUCCUCAGAGCAUGCUGUUGUACUUUUAUUAUGAUUUUAUUACUAUGAGCAAAACUUGUAUUACUUUAUUUAGUCCAAUGAUAAUACGAUUGAGAUAUGUAACAUCUUUAGGGGAAUAAUAGAAGUGAAGCAAACAGCAGCAUUACCAACAACAUCCCAUCCAAUGAAACACACAGGAUCAGCUGAUACGAGGAACUCCUACACAACACACAUCAUUCAGUGAAAGAUCACCUCUCUGUCAUUAGACCCAGAUUAGAUGAGACGUAUUACCUGUCACUGCUGGCAACCUCAGGACAUAUACGAGUACCGCUCACAUCAGAUGACGGUGUAGCCAAACAUAGAUGUAUUAUUCAAUGAUCCCAAUCCACAGCAACAUCGUCUAAAACUCUACGCUCAUUUGAUAUAUUUGUUUUUCCAAGAAUAAAAUGAAGCGCAGAUCAAAAAUGAAAACACGAAGAAGCACAAAACUUCUUAACUUGAGACGUUGUGAGUUUUAAAGAAGUGAAUUAUUAUCAGACUGAAGUCAUUCCCAAUGGAGAGGUUGUUGCACACUGUUGUACCUUUACUAGAGUGUUAUUACUAUGAGCCAAACAUAUAUUACUUUAUUUAGUAAUACAUGUAUUAUAUUUAGAAAUGUAACAUCUUAAUAUUUGAUGAAGAAAAAGGAUCAGAAAAGUGUUUUAUUAGGAUGAUUUUAUUAGUAUACGCAGACAGGUUAGGGUUAGUCCAGCAAUUGAUGUGACGUACGAAUAAGAUUCUGUCAUUGAGCAAUUAUAUCUAUAAAUGUAACAAUUAGAUUUAGAAACACCUUUAGUGAAAUAACAGAAGUGUCUAAUGAAGGGUUUAGAGGGGUGAUUUUACUAUGUGCACUGGAAUAUAUAUAUACAUAAUUUCUUCUUUAAUAUAUUGUCUGUUUUUAAAUGUGCACAGCCUGAAAGCUACCUGAGUGUUAAAGAAGGGAAACAGGAAGUGAAUGAGAACUGAAAUGUGGAUUACUAUCCAGGAAGAGGAUCAGAUCAGAUGUAAUUCCUCAGAGCACGCUGUUGUACCUUUUUAUUGUGAUUUUAUUACUAAUGGAACCAAAAACAAUGAAUAAAGUGAGUGGGAAAAAGAAA